ACUUUCAUUUUGCUCAUAGUCCGAUCACCGAAGUUAAGCAAUGUCGGGCCCGGUCAGUACUUGGGAGGGUGACCACCUGGGAACACCGGGUGCUGUAGGCU